GGCACCUCCGCUCCCCAUUGGCCCACAGGGGGCACUUAUUUGCAUAGGCAUACCGAACUUGCUGCUGUCAUUUCGCGUCAGACGGCGACUCCAAGAGGGGAGGAGCCGACGCCUCUUAAAGGAACAGGAGAGGAGGCGACGACACUUUCCCACCAGUCUGGCUCCCUGGCCCUCAUUCAUCAUCCUCUCUACUGGAGGGGCUUUGGCGCAAGUACACCUGGAAGAGACCGGGGAAGACAGUCGGCCUUCCCUGCCCUAAUGCGGGCAGGGAGGCGGGACUGAAAUCAGUGAAGACUUCCAGCUGCGAGCUGGGCUGGGGGAGGGGGUUGCCCCGGGGAUAAGGCCCACCCCCAAGCCUGUGCACAGGCCUGGGAAAAAGUUUAGCCCGGCAGAAAAUUUAUGCAAGCGAGCAAGCGAGCAAGCGCGCUCACGCGCGCCCUUGUCUAGGAAACCGAGGAAAGCCCGUGGGAGGGAAAACACGAAAAAAAGUUUAGAACUAGGGUGCGGCAAAUUCCAGGUUCAGGUUCUGGUCUGGGUCUUGGUUUUAGCUUCAAGGUGGUGAAAAUAGCUGGGGCUUUGCUGUUAGAGAAAUUAUUAAAAUCUGGAAUCUGCUUCUUCCUAGUCUUGUGGCUGGAAACGAGUGUUUGGCCUCUCCAAACUCGGUAUUUCCUCAUCCUUGGUACCCAUUCCAUGAGGUUCUUAACGCAGAUUUAAAUGAGAUAAAGACUAAAGCACAAAAUUAAGUGGUCAGUGAAUGGUUAACAGGAGCUACCUGGGGUAAUCACUUCAUCCCUGGGAGAAACAUCGGUUGUAUUUAAGGGAUUGGGAAAGAGUGGUGAUGCCUGCCUUAAAAGUUUUUGUGAAGAUUAAAUAAAGCAGCUGGUUGCGGCCCAUCAGUGACAGUGAUAGUGACAUCAAUUAGUGUACUGCAACCAGCAUUUAAAAUAAUAAAUGGGUAAUAAAUAAUGGGUAUCACAAAAAUACUUAAUGGGUAUCACAAAAUGCAAGGAAAGAUACUGUUAAACAAAAUUUUUGUGUGCAAAAUUUUCAUGUUGAACUAUAUAAAAUUGCCAUUUUAUAGGUCGAGUGUGGAAUAUUGUCCAUUUCAUAUGAUCCAAUGUGUGUGCUACUAGAUGAACAUAUCAGCUGCAUUUCUUACUGAGUCACAAUCCAAAGGCUUUGAGAAAUACUAAAGUGUGUUCAAGUGAUUUUUAAGAUACAGCAUGUGUGUGUGUGUGUGUGUGUGUGUGUAUACACACACACACACACACACAUAAAGCUAUAUACACACAUGUAUAAAAACAUGGGCUUAUUCACCAAACUCUUAAAAUACAGGAAUUAAGAGACCUCCUCUUCCCCAUUUCCCAAUAGUUUCAAAGCAUUUUUUCUUUUCCUAAUUCACUCUAUACAACAGGUAGUUAAACAUAUGGAACGUAUUAGUUCAAGAGGAAGAACAGGUCAAAUAGAUAAAUAGUUUCCAGAAGGGCUUUAGGGGCCACAAAUGGUGCUUAGGACUGAUUUGUCUGAGCAGCAUGGUCCUACCACAGCAGCCUGGGGGUUUCAUUCCCACCUGGCUUCUAAAUACUUUUCUAUUUAAGAUCCCUAAUUUAGACACAUGCAGGGUUGACAACCCUCAGCAGUGGCACUGCUCAGGAAAAUUGCUGUGUGCCACAUCCACAAGGUAGGGUGCCCAGGAUGAGCACAAUUUUCAGCUUCCCUUCAAAUAGGCUGCACUCUCUCUGAUUUCACCCAGUCCUUGGGCCAUUGCAUACCAGCAUUAGUGCCACAGCUCCUUGGCCUGCUUGGGAAGGCUUCAUCGUCACAGGCCUUUCAGUCACCACAGGGCAGUGGGAGACUUACAUCCACACUAUAUUGGAUUACUGCUGGUUCAGGAGCCAACAUCAUUGAUGUGGAUAAAGUAAAAAUAAAAAACAGGCUCAUAGAUGUGUUUUGUUUGGACCAUAUAAUAUUUUUAAAUCAGAUUUACCUAAAAACCUGAAUUCAGAUUCUCUCAAAAAAUUGGAAUUUUUAUCAACUCCAGGUCUGUGCGCCCAUAAGAGCACUAUAGCCUGGAACGGAGUUGAGUGAUAGCCACAGAGCAGGUAUGUGCUCUCAAGUUCACUGCAGACUCCAUACAGCCCACUGAGCUCAGAUAAGUCCCCUGCCUGGCCUCUCUGGAAUGUGAGUUUGGUGCUUCUCCGAUAAGACCUAAAUCACCAUAGCCCCUGGAAUAUGGGAGCUCAUGUCCACCCCAGACUAUGAAGGACCUCCAGAAGGACAUCAGAAUUCCAGAUGCCCUCAUACCACACCAUUCCCACCCAACCUUUCUUUCUCCUGGUUUUUAUCACCCUAAUAUUAAUCAGAACAAAGCUUAAGGAUUACUUUUUUAAAUUACUAUUACCAAAAAAUAAAUAAAAAUUACUAACACUCUAAAACUGUUUUCAUUUGGAAUUAACCUUUACACAGGGAUUCUUAACUUCAUGUAGUAGAAAAGAGGUCUCAGUUGUGAUGGCAGCAUUAGAGGGAAUGAAAAGGAAGAGGUCUUGAGUCUGUGUAUCCAGGAAAAGUCUGGAAACCCCUGUUCCAAACACUAAUAGUGCUAACCACUGGAUAGUAAGGUUGGGGACUAGAAGAGUAUAUUCUUGCUUUAUGAGUCUGUACCCUUUGACUUCUUCCAUGAUCGGUAUUACUUUUAUAUACAUUUUUUUCUCUUAAAAUUAAGCAAAAAUGGAAAUAGGACAGAGAGAGAACAAAUGGAUCUUGGUGACAGGCGGCACAGGGAGGGGGUUAACACAGAGAAGAGGACUCAUGAUGGACUGAGAUUUUGAGAGAGCAUGCUCCAGGCCAGCAGAGGAGCCCCAAACCAGACCCACAGUCUGAAGCCAAGCCCAGAUGGAUUCAAAUAGGUCCAGCCAAGAUCAGCCAAACUUCAUCAACCUGCAGAUCCAUGACAACUAGAAUGGCUGUAUCUGUGUACUUGCUAAUACCAGCCCUUCGAGGUGAGGCAGGCUGAGCCGGCCCCAGGACCCUGAGCAAACCUCCACCUGGAGACAUCUGGAAUCAUCCUUUGGAAACACAGU